rnacentral:lncRNA from 1 species
UGACCCACAAGAAUGGCCGACCAGCCUCUACAAGCGCUCGUGCCAUUUCCUCCUUCUGUGGCUUCGAUAGCACGGAGAUGCUCCCAAACGACAGGUAGAUCACUGACGCCUUUGGCUUCGUGUCCAGCCACUCGAUGUAGCCGCUUGAGCUCUUGAAGAGAUCGCCUCCGAAAGAAGUGUCCGAUGGAUCUUGCCCGUCCAAAAAUGCGGACGGGAUCAGCGGCCCGAUCCCAAUCACCUUAAACUUAUCGAUAGCCCGUAUGGCGUCUGGCUCCAGCGCAUCGAAGGUGUUUGUCAGCACCCUUGGAUUGGCCUCCUCAAGUAGUAUCUCGAAAUGACGCUGGAAAAGGGGGAGGCUGAAGUUGUACUCAUUUUUAGAAUUGCAAAAUGAGGGUAUGUCGCUGGCCAUGAGAGGCGGCAACCCAGGCAAUUGGAUUGGCAGCGAAGGAUUGUCGCCCGUGCUUCGAAUAAGAUCCCCGUAGCCAUGGAAGUAAUAAUAGUAGAAGUCCAAAACAGUGGCCGGUUGAAUCCAAACAAGCGUCGAAGGAAUACCAUGAGAACGAGCGACAUCAGCAACCCACGGAAGGAGGGUGGUGUAGAAUACUCCCAAUAAUCGCCGACCGUUCUCAAGGUUCGAGGCGAUGAGAUCGCUUAAAGUCUCCGAUCCUCGUCGCUUGAGGUCGUCCAUGUAUACCUCGAGAUCUUGCCCUUCUUUGACACCUUCGUCGUAGCCAUCAGAGAAGCUGGCGAAGGAUAGCCCCUCGGGAGGAGAUUUCGACUCGGCCGUGCGGAGGUGGGCGCGAAUGGCAGUGACGAAGGUCACGUGAGCGCCAACACGCACCAGACGCUUGGCGAAUUGGAGGGACGGGUUUAUGUGGCCCUGGCCGGGGAAGGUCACGAGGAGGAAGUGUGGAGGUGCCAUGGACGAGGCUCGAAGAAAUUCUUUGGAAAUGGUAGGGACGCUGAGGCAGCACUCGACAGGAGAUGCGCUGUAAGUGGAUGGGAGAGGAUUAACGAGGAGAUUAAGGUGGAGACUGUCCGUUAUAAAUAAGGACGUCUCUGAAAUUAUUUACGUCUAGGCUGACGAAUGAGGGAUUUGCUUGACCCGUACAAAGUGGUAAAGUCUGGAUUGUCUUGCUCUCUCUCAGGGAGGAAAUAUUGCCUGCGUAUUUACUUAUGUUAUUGGGUAAGUGACGAGUUUUUGUUUGGUCGGCACGUGACGAGUUAAGAAGUCAAUUAUUACAGAUGUAUUUUUCAAAGAUGAAUUGCAACUCUUUUUUUUUUAACAUGAACAUGUUGAGGACCUUUAGAUAAUUUCUCUCGUCUCCACCGACUUCGCCACAUAAGAGACAUCUCUAGUUUUUUUUAUACAUCAGAACAGCAAAAUANNNNNNNNNNNNNNNNNNNNNNNNNNNNNNNNNNNNNNNNNNNNNNNNNNNNNNNNNNNNNNNNNNNNNNNNNNNNNNNNNNNNNNNNNNNNNNNNNNNNAAAAAUUUUUAAAACUCUUUGAUUUUUCUGGGACUAGAAUUCCCACACCCGAAACUCCUUUUCCCCAUUUGGCGCCCCUAUGGGGCGACCCCCGGGAAAUGUAAAAAAGAAAGCCCCCCCCCCCCCCCCCCCUCCUCUCCCAUGACCUAGCGAGCUACAUAUUGAUACUUGAUUUUUAACUGACGCAUCUUAUGAAGAUAAAAGCUUGAGAUUACAGUUUCUGAUUGCGAUAGAGCCCGUUCCUCGACUAAAAAAGAGUAAUUUAAUACUUUUUUACAUUAGCACUUCAUUUUCAUUUUAAUCUCAUAAAAUCAAAUAGACAGCUAUUUUUUUUUUUUUUUGGUUAAAGUAUGAACGAAAAGUCAACCCCAAGUUAAAAUUUGAUUUUUUGAAUGAAAAACCACAAGCUAAUGUAAAUUAUACUUCCAGUGUCAAUUUUCCCAAAAAAAAAAAAAUCAAAAUUUAACUCCUUAAUUGACAUUUUAAUGAAAAAUCACCAAAACGUUAACUUUUGCCCAAAAAUAUUGAAAAUUUUUCAAAUCUCUAAAUCUUCCUCAUUUUACCUUAAUUUGACAUAGGCAUUAUCAAUUUUACAAUAAUCGAUCAAGAACCAAAUUUUCCCUAAUUUGUGGAUUUUGGUUUGAAAUUGACCAAAAAACAAAUUAGUUCAUUUCUAGUUAUUUUUAGGAAAAUUUUCUUAGCGACAUUUGAUCAUGAGGCCGUCUCACAUCCAAUUUUCAAGCUAAUUUUGAAAUUCCAAAUCAAAGGUAAAAAUCCCCAAUUUUGUCUCUAAUCCAGUGGGUAAUUCAUGAAUUGCUCAUUUAAAUCAUGAACAAGUCCAUUUUCUUAGAGACUACUAAAAUCCAAUAUCAAUUUUGACAAAUUCACACGAAUUCAAUUUGAUUUGACCAAUUUGGUUAAUAUGAAGUUUAUAAAAUCAAGCUAAUUUGGUCUAAUUGGUGCAAUUCAACUUAACCCAUUCUAAGGUAUUGGUUACUUUGACCAAAUGGGGUUCAAUUUGACAAUUAAACUUCAAUUUCAUUUUGGGGUUUAAUUGUUGUCAUCAAAUAAGCACGUGUCUGAAAUUAUUACGUCUUGGCUGACGAAUGAGGGAAUUGCUUGACAUGCACGAGUGGUAUGGUCUUGAUUGUCUUGCUCUCUCUAGAAGACAUUUCAAACAAUUAAAAUGUGCGUAUUUACUUAUGUCAUUGGGUCACAUGACUAACUAAGAAAUCAAUUAUUAGGGCCAUGUAUUUUCAAACAUGAAUUGCAAUUUUUUUUUCUUUUAAACAUGAACAUGUUGAGGACUUAGAUAAUUUAUCUCGUCUCCACCCAAUUUCGCCAAAUACGAGACAUCUCUAGUUUUUUAUACGUUGGAUGAGCAAAAUAAUGGAGUAUACACAUUCAAACAAAUACAUCACAACGGCGCGUCUCCUGUACAAAAUUUGAAAACACUUUGAAUUUCACUCAAGCUGAAAAUCCUAAACCUUAAUCUCUCUUCUAUCUAUAUGGAGCUACUAUGGUGUGACCUUAACCUCUCUUCUAUUCAUGACCUAGCUAGCUAUAUAACCCAAUAGCAUCAUUGACUUCAAUCGGCUUCUGGUCCCAACUCACUAUGAGAACGUGUUGGACUAUACUAUUAGACAAAAAAAAAAAAAAAAAUCAUUUCAAUGCAUGUCCCAUAUAUCUAUUGAUCUAAUAAAAUGAAUUUGAUUGCAAUAUUUCAUGAAGAAAUGCAUUAUCUACUUCACCAUAUAAAAAAAGGGAAAAAUUGUGCAAAAACUUCAAACUUGUUGUACUUUUGUCAAUUUAUUUAUAAAUAUUUUAGUUUUACCAAUUAAGUCAUAAAUUUUUUCACAUUUUGUCAUUUGAGUUCAUAUGGUCAAUUUUAAUUGGAAAUUGCAUACGUGAAUGUCGGUAGUGUAAUGUAGGACACUCAGCACUAAUGUGGACAAUUCUUUUUAAAUUUUUUUUUAUCUUUUUUAUUUAUCUUUAUUUUUUCACCAAGUUUGACGAGGGCUAGCCGACCCUUGCGAACCAUAGGGGAGGGCUGGUAGCCCAUGUCAACCCCUAGGCGAGGGCAAUGAAGCCCUCGCUAGUUGUGGGCGAGGGACUUGGUCCUGCCCACAGCCAUGGCUAGUGAAGACUUCACGACCCUCCCAUAGUGGCUAGCAAGGUCAACCGGUCCUCAAUUGCAAUUGGCAAGGGUUGGUUAGCAACCCUCUUGCCAAGCUUGGGAAAAAAAAAAAGGAAAAGAAAGAAAGAAAAUAAAUGAAUAAAUAAGUAAAAAAAAUUAAAAUAUUAUUAAAAAUUAUUCAUACCAAUAUCAGUCAUGCUAUGUAAGACAGUUGGUAUCCACAAUGGUGAUGCUAAAUGGACUCAAUUAAUAGUACGUAAUAAGGUUUAUGACUCAAUUGACAAAUUAAUUUUUUUUAAAUUUAAUUGGUAAAAGUACAAUAACCUUAGGACUAUUUGGACAUAAUUGGCAGUACAUGACAAGCCUAAGUCUAUUAUUAAUCCUAAUGAAAACUACAUGAAAACCCCUUGGCAUUUCCCAAUCGGCUUGAGCGGGACUCCCACAACAUCUUGUUGAUGGGGAGUAUGAACUACACUCUCAACAAUUAGCACACACAAUCGUGUCAGUACGUCACUACUUUGAACAUGGACUAAAAUGAAAAAAAAAAUGGUCACGAGGUGAAUUUUACGGAUCUUUUCAGUGGGAUGGAAAUAUCUUUAGUAAGAAUACUUUUUGUAAUUGGUUAAAUUUUGAUUAGUUAUUACUCAAUCUCUUUCCGUUGUUAUUUUGUGUUUUUCUAUUAUUUGGCCAACGAUGUACUUUUCCUCCAUUUAAACGCCCCUACUUUGCAAAUCCCAUCAAGCAUACAAAUUGGCCCGUUUUCAGAAGAACAAUGAAUCUGGGACCGAUGCGUCAAAUUUUCUAGAGUGACAGAUUCGUUAUCUUCUCAUUUUUCCUAUAUACAUCGAUAUGCAUAUUCAAAUCAUUUCUCUUUCUUUCCUUAUAGUGCAAUCAGGGCCUUUCAUCGAUUAUGUUGAUGUGGCAUGCUGAAUAUUUGACAUUACAUCAUAUAAAUACUUUUCGGUGUAUGUGGCGCCAACGUGAUGCCAGAUAUCUAACAAUUUUACAUGUGUUUAUUCUAUUUUUAUUUUAUUUUCCACGAAACAAACAUAGACAUAGUGAAGAUAACCUCAAUUGACAUAUAUGCAAAAGAUACUCAUAGUAAUGAUAGAAAGAAGAGCAAACACACGUAAAAUAAUAUCUAUCAACAUAUGUGCACACGACACAUGGGUCACAUAAUAGUUGUGUUAAAAUUUCCGUUGGAUUUUGGAUUUUAAACCCACUAAUCUUAUUGAACACAUUAAGUUAAAAAAGAUUGGGUAAAUUCACUAACUUGAGACUGUCAACUCAAUUUGUUAUGUAUGGUGAUAUGCAGAAUUUACAUUUGUAUAGGUGAAAAGUGGGAGGGAAAUUUGCUUGCUGAUGAAGAUAGAGUAGUAGUUUAUAGUUCUUUGAUACUUUGAUGCAUGAUAACGAUCAUAUCCCUAUUAUUGCUGUUGCCGAGUUUAUAACAAAUAUAGAUGUACACCAAAUUUAUAUAGAAAAGUGUUUAGCAAUUACCCAAUUUGUCUCUAAGAAUUUCAUCAAGAAUGUGUUAUCAAAGUUGUAAGUAAAAAGAGAAAAAGAAAGGAUUGUUGUUGUUAUAAAUAAUUGUGAUGAACAGUAUAUGAUUUGGUCAUACUUACAAACAACUAAUUAACACAUCUUUUGGGAAUAUAUACCUUAUCUCCUCAUCACCACUUUUCAUGUUAACAAUCACUUCUUUUCAUAUCCAAGAGUCGCAUUUUUUCAUGAUAAUGAAUCAUUUCAAUAAAAAGAUUGAACACCACAUCAAUAAGUGGAAAGACAAAGAACCAUUAUUGUAAGUGGUGCGCUCGCAGUGGAAAGUGUUGUUAGAAAAAGAUACUUAAUCACUAAUCAAACGGCAUUAAUAUCAAUUAGGUUUUUGUUUGAUGGGUUACAUGUCAGAAACAACACCCGAAUCCACCUCCCGUUCAUGCCCAUGUCAUCUGGGCUUUAGCGUCCGACCUUGCACCAAACCUAACGUUACCAUAUCAUUAGGAUCUAUCGCACUAAUUUGGUUGGGCCACAGUCAGUCUUAUAUUGGGUCGGACUAACUUUUCGUGCUCAGAGAACCCUGGCCAAUAAAAUCUUCACCACACUUACAUUUUCACCUAAGCCCAACCCACCGGGUCUGUUAACACCUUUACAAACACUAGUUCCUCGACCAUUGCCAGUCGAUCCUGAUAGUCGCGAUCAGUCCUCAAUUAUUGUCGAUCGAUCUCAAUGAUCAUUGAUCUAAAUGAUGAGGCUAGUACAUACACUUUAACAGAGACUUGACACAAAUAUGUUCAGUGGAUCCCUACACCUCCUUUUUAAUGCAAUUGCUCAUUGCCGUAACCGGGAGUUACACCACAUUAACUAUAAAGGCAAAAACAUUCUCACUUCAAUCCUGCCAUGAAAAGCCUAAGAUUGUCGUCUGAAGAUCCGCUUUCCUUGACCGCUCGCCUCGCCAAAGCUUUCCAUUUUGAGGCACUCUCACGCAUGCCUUCCUCGUGUGUCGGCCCCAUGACCAAGUCCAAGCACCUCUUCAUUUCUUCUCUUCCCACAACGCCUUCGCCGUCCGCCCUUGCCUUUACGCCUACCCCCCAUACGUCCUGGAUCAACUUGGCGUUCGUCAGCUGAUCCGAAAAUUGCGGACACGCAACCAUCGGCACGCCUGCUGUCAAGCUCUCGAGGGUCGAGUUCCACCCACAGUGCGUCACAUGGCAUCCUAUUGACUUAUGGUUCAAGACCUCCACCUGCAGACACCACGGUACUAUCAAUCCGGAAUCUCCAUCGAUUCUUCCCUUUAUCAUCGUGUCGAUUUCUUCUUGUUCACUGGUAUUGGAAGGCCGGAUCACCCACAAGAAUGGUUGGCCACUCUCGCGAAGUCCUUGGCAUAGCUCCUCCAUCUGAUUUUUCUUCAACACGGCCAAGCUCCCGAACGAUACGUAAAUCACUGAAGAUGCAGGCUUUGAGUCGAGCCACUGCAGAUAAUCCGUCGAGCAGUCGAAGAGGUCACAGCCGAAGGAAUUGUCUAACGGACGAUCUUUAUUAUCCAAAUAAGCUAGCGGGAUCAGAGGCCCAAUCGCGAAUAGCUUCAUGUUCUCCAUGCCUGCUUUGAUCAGAUCUUCUUCCAGCGCGUCGAAGGUGUUCAAGAGAACACAUGGGUUGGUUUCUUUUUCGAGUGUUAGGAUGUGUUCUUGAAAGGUCGGUACAAUGGGGAAAUUUGGAUCGGUAGGUAAGAGAAAUGAAGGCAAGUCCUCCGGUGUCAAAGGAGGCAAACCAGGCAAUGAGAUUGUAGUAGGAGGCUCAUUUUUACUACUUUGAUAGAAACCACUUCGACUGUUGAAGUAGUGGUGAUAUAUAGCAAAGACGGCAGCCGAUUGAAUAGAAAGAAAAGCGGAAGGAACGCCGAGAUCUCGAGCCACAUCGGCCGCCCACGGGAGCAGGACGGUGUAGAUCAAGAAAGUGACUGGUCGAUCCUUCUCAGAUAAGCUAACGAUCAGUUCUCUUAAGUUUCGGGAACCUACCCGCUUUAUUUCAGAAAUCCUGUCUUCGUAGGAGGAGGGUUCGCCAGCAUCGUCGUCGGUGACGGAGAAGGAGGUGUGCGAUAAGCCUUCCAUCGAAAUAGGGGUCUUGAUGGUCCUUACGUUUCGGCCAUCGACCGCGUUGGCGUAGGUGACCUGCGCGCCGGCCCAUACCAGUCGCUUGGCGAGUUGUAUGGUAGGAUUAAGAUGACCCUGACCACGGAAGGAGAUGAUGAGGAAGUGCUGGUGGUUCAUCUCUCUCUCUCUCUCUCUCUCUCUCUCUCUCUCUGUGGUGAGAUAGAUGUUGCAUUAUGGCAAUGGAAGGUUUUUUUUAUAUAUUUGAAACAUGGGCAUAAUGUCAAACGAACAUAUCCAUUUGGAUGACUUUAGUGAAAUCAGAUCGAACCCGCUACUUUUUUUUUUUUUUAAUAAUAAAUCUACACGUGGGCCAACCAGUGAUUUUCAUGUGAAAGAUUGGACUUCUGUCUCUCUUGUCAUUGAGCAAAAGUGUUUAGAGUCAGAAGUGGUAGCUUAUCCAUGGCACAUUGGCACCCGGGAUGACCUAGCCCAAGCUAGGCCCGUGGCCCACCGUGAUGAUAGUCGAGUAGGUUCCGCCCAGUCCGAUCCAUGGCAGGCCGCCGGCGACGGACUCGUAAUUCUAUGUUUGGAUGCUGGAUGGAGAGUAAGGUGAUGGAUGAGUUUGGCUUUUUAUAAGUUUAGCCGAAAUGUCUAUUAUCGUCUUGCAAGAAAGCGUUUGAUGAAACCAUCUCUCUAAACUUAAUGUUUGUUCACCAGUGUCUACAAUCAACACACUCAUUACGAAGAGACUGCUUGAUACAAAAAGAACAAAAGAGCAUUAGACAUAUUGAACUUAUAUUGAGCUCUCGUUUCCUCAUUUCAAAGUCGACGUCGGCAAAAGAAGAAUUGUAAUGCUUGUUAGUAUCAGGAGCGGGAGCUUGUGGAGCAAGAAUCCAACGGUACCUUGAGUGUUAAAGUCAUUCUUAAGGAUACAAGUCGCAUUUUUAUAAUUUUAUUCGUUGAAAUCUACACAUUGACAGCUAAUUCAUAACUUUAACCAAUCAAUGUUUAAUCAUUAACCAAACUCAUUUGUGAAGUAAUGAGUCUAACAUUUACAAUAUAUAAAUAUUUAAAUUUAUUUAUCCCAACAAGGAUGACUGCACACACCUAAUUCUUGACCAACUGUCGAUUAUUAAGUCACACUCAUUAAAAUUUUGACAGGCUUGCUCUAGAAGAGCUUUCCUACAAGACCCAAUAUGAUCAAAUUGGAUGCUGGAAUUGCAGAAUAUUGUGAUUUUUAAUCACGACUAUCUAAUCUGGAUGGGGUUAGAAAUACACAAUUUUUGCAAAUUGCUUGAUAAGAUGAUGUAAAUUUCAUUGUGAGCUUUCUAACGUUUUAAGAAUCACUUCCAUUGGAGUUUCUCUUCACAAAACUAACAAAGUAGUCAAUUUAUUUAGAAAAUCAUUCUUUACUACACGUGUUCGUGGUUUGAAGUAACAAAGAUGCACAUACAAACUGAGUGAUCGACAGAGAAUUAUUGAUAGUACAUCUCGUAGAAAUUAGUUACUGGGUAUCUCAUUAUUAUUAUUUUCAUUUAUGAAUCUUCAAGUGAAUUUUUUCUUUUUUUUGAUAAAUCAGGGAACCCGCGCACCGUACCAACACGGACAGUCCGACAGGCUCAGGAUAACGGGAGGUAAACCCUGGGGCGAUGCUAGCAGAGGACCCACCACCCUGACGUCGCACUUAAGAUCCCGUGUGCCAGCGGGAUUUGAACUCCUCCCUUUUCACAAAGGUUCAUGGGAGCACUUAUUCAACUGGGUCAUCACAGGUGGUGGUUAUCUUCAAGUGAAUUUUUAACUUGUUAAGGAUCCAUAAUUGUACAUUGCCAAAAUUUAUAAUUAAAAAAAAGGUUGUCCGUAUGACGUGUUAAAGUUGGGAUUCUCCAUCAACCAGGGUAAUAGGGUACAAUCUUAGCGCACUCGACCAAGAAGAACACGGAUGACGUGCCAAUACUUUUUAUCAUUUACCGAAGAAGAAGACAGUUCUCACUUGCCUACUGGUAGGAUUUUGAACGAGUGGCUCAGUCAACCAUCUGCCAUUGACUGGUGGAUGAGCCCUUCGCCCGGCAAAUCUGGGAUUAGUUAAAUCAUUGCAGCAAGUUUUUGGAAGAUUCUUUUGCAUUAACGGAAUCUAAUGAAUUAGCUGCGGCUUUGGCACAUGAAGUUGUUAUAACAUGGGGUAAAUAGGUGAGCUGUAAGUGUGAUUUACAUGAGAAAAAUUAGAAUAGUACAAGUGAAGUAAGGAAAACUAAAUUGCUAAAUUGUCAAAAAUAUUUAUAAUUGAAUCGAUAUCAUUGAAAAAUUUACAUUUAAAUUGAUUAAUCAUUAAAAGGUUUAUAAUUAAAUUUGCGCAAUUGAAAUGUUUAAAAUUGAAUUAAUUGCCCUACAUUUAGUUUGGGAAAUGAUUUUUCCUUAGUUUUUUUGUUUGAUGAUUAUUAGCGUUAGACUCCAUUCUGGACAACUUCUUCAAAGCUUUUCUUUACUGGUGAGAAUUUUGGCAUGACUAUCAACCUGUGCACCACAAUCUUGGUGUCUAAUCUGGGCAUAUCUUCAUUUUGAACAGAAAAAGACAUCUUGAUAUUUUUUGAGGAAUUUGAUCAUAACCUUGUUUGGUGAAGAGCUUCAUCCUGCCCUUGUCACCCUUGAUGGUUUGGCUCGGUCCCUAUAGGUCUUAGUAUGUUGAAUGUUUGGUAAAUAUCUAGUUUGGAACCUCUCAACUUCCUCAAGAAUUUCAGUAGGUGGUCCAUUAGCUCCUUUGUUCUUGUCAACCUCAAUUCUCAUUGCAUAUUCAUAGAUAUAAAAAAAAAAAAAAAAAGUAACUACAUAAAUUGUUAGGUUGGUCUCGAUUAUCAUAAAGAAUUAUUCUAAUUGUCUCUAAUACUAGUCAUACAUCUUUUAUGACCUCCGCAAUUAGAAUAUUUCAACCCUCUCAAUCAUUUGGACCCAAAAAAAUAAAAAAUAAAAAAUAAAAACUCCCAAUUUUGAAUCGUAUGUACACAGAAGGGUAUAUUUCCGCGGCCCACACAACCUAAUGCCAAGCUCUAUGGACCACCAUGCCCGUUUUUUUGUUCCUUGACGGUCGGCCUUUUGUUUACCCCGACGAUCUCCUCACCCUCGCCGGCACCCCCUGUGAUUUGACCUGCUUGUGACCUCCUGCCAAGCGCGCGAGUGAAGGCACGAGUGCUUUAACAUACGCGGUAAACACCAGCCCCCAUUGAAACCACCACCACUUGUUUCCGGUCAAAGUUCGAGACGGAAGAAGAUAUGACCAUUGAGUAUUUCAUAUCUCAUUACCAGUGUGGACUAUUGUAAAGAUUCUAAGACAUGUAGUUCUUCUGCCGCUGAGAAAUGUUUUUACCAUCAGCUGUAGGUCGAACCAUCGAGAUUCAAGACCAAGCAACAAGAUUCAAGACCUAGCAACAUAAGCGUCAUAUAUGACGGGCUGAAAUAGGAGGAAUGGAAAAUAAGAAAAGAAAAAAUGUCACCUAGAAAGGACAAUAAUUUGUCCUGAACAAUAAGCGACGACUGCAUGCCCACAGGAAGGAUUACAUAAAAGCCAUAUAAAAUAUGCAUUCGCUAAAAGUCCCUAAAGAUGAGGACAGGAAAGCACCACGUUAGCUGCUCACAGCGACACCAUAGACGAUUCAUUCGAGCUCAGAUGCUUCUCUGACCUCGUCCACGAAGGCCCUGAGGUUCUUGUCCGAUGACCCGCCUUCCUUCACGGCCUCCCUCGCCAGAUCCCUAAACUUCCGGGCAUUCCUUCUCAUCUCCUCCCCCUCCUUUCCAUCUCCCAUCACCAGCUCCAAGCACCUCCUCAUCUCGCCGCUCUCCACCAGGCCUUGCUCGUUGGGCGUUAUCCUCACCCCGGUCCUCCACACGUCCGCCACGAGCUUCGCGUUCGUUUGCUGAUCGCUCCACUGCGGGAACGCCACCAUGGGUACCCCGCAGACCAAGCUCUCUGACGUGGAGUUCCACCCGCAGUGUGUCACGAAACACGCCACUGAAGGGUGAGAGAGAACCUCCACUUGCGAGCACCACGGCACUAUCAUCCCUAUCUUAUCUAGUUCUUCUUUGAAGCUCAAUCUAUCCUCGUCUCUCUCUUCUUUCCCGCUUUCCCGGAUGACCCACAAGAACGGCCGGCCAGCCUCUACAAGCGCCCGUGCCAUUUCCUCCUUCUGUGGCUUCGAUAGCACGGAGAUGCUCCCAAACGACACGUAGAUCACCGACGCCUUUGGCUUCGUGUCCAGCCACUCCAUGUAGCCGCUCGAGCUCUUGAAGAGAUCGCCUCCGAAGGAAGUGUCUGAUGGAUCUUGGCCGUCCAAAAACGCGGACGGGAUCAGCGGCCCGAUCCCAAUCACCUCGAACUCAUUGAUAGCCCGUAUGGCAUCCGGUUCCAGCGCAUCGAAGGUGUUUGCCAGAAUCCUUGGCUUGGCCUCCUCAAGUAGUAUCUUGAAAUGCCAUUGGAAAAGCGGGAGACUGAAGUUGUACUCAUUUUUAGAAUUAAAAAAGGAGGGUAUGUCGCAGGCCAUGAGAGGCGGCAACCCUGGCAAUUGGAUUGGCACCGAAGGAUUGCCGCCCGUGCUUCGAAUAAGAUCGCCGUAGCCAUGGAAGUAAUAAUAGUAGAAGUCCAAAACAGUGGCCGGUUGAAUCCAAACGAAUGUCGAAGGAAUGCCAUGAGAACGAGCGACCUCGGCAGCCCACGGAAGGAGGAUAGUGUAGAGUACACCUGAGAAUCGCCGACCGCUCUUAAGGUUCGAGGCGAUGAGGUCACUUAAAGUCUCUGUUCCUCGUCGCUUGAUCUUGUCCAUGUAUUCCUCCAUUUCAUCCCAAUUGUCGAAACCGUCGUCGUAGCCAUCAGAGAAGCUGGCGAAGGAUAGCCCCUCGGGGAUAGAUUCCGACUCAGCCAUGCGGGGACGGGCACGAAUGGCAGUGGCGAAGGUCACGUGGGCGCCGACACGCACGAGACGCUUGGCGAAUUGGAGGGAAGGGUUUAUGUGGCCUUGGCCAGGGAAGGUCACGAGGAGGAAGUGUGGAGGUGCCAUGGACGAGGCUUGAAGAAAUUAUUUCGAAAUAGCGAUGACGCUAAGGCAACACUCGACAGGAGGUAUGGGGUAUAUGGAUGCGGGACAUUUAGCGAGUAGAUUGAGGUGGAGACUGUCCGUUAUAAAUAAGGAUGUGUCUGAAAUGAUUACGUCUUGGCUGACGAACGACGAACACCCAGUGCCGCAUGGGCCAAUAUUAAAUUGUUUGAGAAAAGUUGGCGUUCUUGGGACUAGAAGUCCAAGACAGAUGAUCAACUUUCUCUUAAGGUCAGGGCUACUAAAAAAUUUUCUUCCACAACUAUUCUUAUUAACUUUUUAUUUUCCCGAUUUUGCCUUAUCAUUUGACUGUUCAUCUUCUUUUCCAUUGAGAUUAGCUGGCGUGUUGCACAAGACUACAAGGGGCUGAUGAUAGGCUAGAUAAAAUAGCAAAUUACGAAGGCCAGCAUGCAUCCUUCCUUUCUCUAAGUGAUAUUUAAAACAAUAAAAAGCCGUGUACUUACUACUUCAUCGCAUCGCAUGAUGAAUUACGAAGUCAAUCACGAGGGUUUAGAUAUAUUCCAAAGAUGAAUGGCGAUUUAUUCAAACCUCAACAUGGUGAAGGAAAAAGAUAAUUUAUCUUUAGUCUCCACCUGAUUAUGCCACUUAUGAGACAUCUCCGCCAGGCAAAAUAACAAAGCAUACACAUUCAAACACAUCGCCAGAUUGGGUAGGAAAAGAAAAAAGGAAAAAAAAAAAGAAAGAAAGAAAUAUAUAAAAAAAUGAUUUUUUCUUAAAUUUUUAAAAAUAUUCAUGUCAGCACUAGUCAUCCAACAUAGCACAUUGGUAUCUACGUUAGUGAUUUUUUGCUCAAAUUAGCUAGAUGCAAUCAAAUAGCAAAACAUAAAAAAGUUUAGGAUUAAGUUAGUACAAGUGUUGUGAUAUCCUCAAUUUCAAGUUAUGUUUUCAAUUGAAUAAGUUGGGCUUUUCAUUGACGUACCUAUAGUUUUAUUCUCUAAGUUGACCACUCGCGAGAUAACUAGCCUAUCAAGUGAAGCCGUUAAGGAAUCUAAAUGCAAUAGACUUGAGAACUCGACUAGGAAUCGACUGCUUUACCGUGCUAAUUUGCAAGGGUCAUUACAGCACUGUCAAAAUUGAUCAGAGAUCAGAGAUAGAUUGAUUCGAUAGAGGUAUGUGAUUAGUCACCUAAUUGCAAAAUUUAUGUCGAACGGUACUAGACCGAUUUUUCUAAUCAUUUAUGUAUCCUACAUUCGUAUUUGAAACCUCAAGAUUUUUACAACAAUCGAUAGUCGCUAAUGUAUUGAAGAUAUACAAUGUGGCUCGAAAAUAAUCGACCAUGGGUCAAUUACACUAAAAAUUUCUAAAAACUACCUGAUAGGUUAGGUUAUGCUAACAUUGCGCCACAUUGAAAUUAACCGCGAAUUUAAACCCGAUUUCAGGUUAUGUCGUGUCAGGAUUCAUUUUAGGAGCAUCGACUCACCUUCCAAAUAUUUUUCUGCAAACCAAGGUUUUUGGCGAAAAUUCAAAGUAGGGCUGUUUUUGACCGGAAAUUCUGAUGAUCGUUUUUUAUCGCAUUUUUGGGAUUCAAGUUGGAUAAAUUGAUAAGAAAAAAUGUGAAUUUAAGUGUGGGCAUCUUGGUUGAAUUUAUAAGGACCAAAUUGAACUCAAUUGGAGGGGAAUAGAAGGAGAAUUGAACCAAAUUAGAUGGCCAAUGUACAAAAUUCGUUAGGCCAUGGGGGACUCAACAUUUUGGACCACUUGGAGGCUCGUUGAGGAAGCUUUGGCAGCUGCAAAAUGGCUGAGGAAGACAGCCAAGUUGGUAGGGCCAAGCACUUGAGAGCCUAAGAUAUUUUUGGUGGCCCCCUCCAUCUUCAGCAGCCUUCUUCUUCUUCUUCCCUCAGUUGCUUUCUCCAUUUGUGUACUGUUGAGAGCUUGAGGGAAACUAGAAAACCCAACCAACCAAGCCUCUAAGCCGUCCAAGCAAGUCGCGUGCUCGCAUGCUAGCCGCAAGCCCAGCCAUGUGUCCUUGCCGUCCCGCCUCCAGCUUGAGACCUGCUGCUAUCCCGAGCCAUCCUGGCCGCUGUCAAAACCUCUUGUCGUUGUUUCAAUCGCUGUUAGCCUUCGACGUUGCCCGCCUAAGUUGCUGCAGUCAUCGUCAUCCAUCUUGUGUUGUUUCAGCCCUUUCGACUGGUCCCUGCAGCCAAGAGCAGAAGCGAAAGUUCCAACAAGAGCUAAGACUUCUAGGCCCGUUUUAGGUCCCUUCUAGGCCUUCUUUGGUGUUGCCACUAGGAGGUUUGUUGCCCGUCUUUGCGUCACCGUUGCCAUGGACUCACUGGCUCACUAAUCCAGUAAGUUUACUCGCUAAACUCUGCUGAAGGAGUUAAUUAUGCUUAAAGGGUAUUUAGUUUAAGUUAAUUAGGGUUAGAUGGUUAGUUAGAUUAGAUUAGUGAUUUAAUUAUUCCAUUAUGCAUGUUGGGUGGUUAGAUUAGAUUAAUUAGGGACUAGAUAGGAUGUACUAUUUAUCUAGAUAGGUUCAUAAAUUUUCUCGACCGUUAGUAGUAUAGCAUUCGCUAGUAGUGUUUUUGUAUUGAAUUAUUUAAUUAAUUUUGGUAAUUAUUAAUAUUUUUGAAAACUAUACCGAGAUAGCCGGUGAUCAGAAUUUCAUAAUGAUUGCAAUGGUAUGCUUGGUUUAUUUAAUUGAGUGCUAAAUUGUGCAAAUUAAGUAGUGAUUGAAAUUUUGAGUAUUUAAUUCGAAAUUUGGAAGUUUCGGUAAUUAUUUAGAAAUUACUGAGCGUCGGAUUUUGACAUCGAAAAUGGUUUUAAAUACAAUAUCAAAUAGUGGGAUUUGAAAAUGAAGGGUAUCGGUUUUUCUGGUUCAAAUUGACUGUGUACCCACACACGAUUAUUUUAUCAUGUAUUUUUAAUAUGAAGAAAAUAUGCCAAGUUCACCAUUUUAAUUGAGGCAUUUAAGUGAAAUGCACGAUAUCUUGGGUCGAGCUUGAAUGGUCUUGUGUUGGUUAAGAGCACCCGUCUCGAGCUGUUGAGCUAGACGUGCCCCUAUAUGGGAUGCCCUACCAAUGGAUGCCGAUCACAGUAGAUUAUGGACUGAUACUUCUUUAUGGAAUGCUGUUGACGUAGUAACGUUACCGUGCUCGAUGGGGCGAGAUGACGCUUGGCUAUGCUAGAAGACUGCCGAACUUCGAGUAGGUCAUGCUCGUGUGUGGCCGUGAUUAACAAUUGGAACGCAUGCUGAGUGAAAUUGACGCGUCGGAUUAUGGGACAAAAUUGUGUGGCACAAAAUGAGACAUGUCAUAACGAUUUAAUCUUAUAAUCGGGAACCCUUGUGUUGUUGAGAUGAAAGUGUUGGUGGUCCAAUUGUUUAAGCAUGAAUACUAUUUAUGUUUGUAAUAUAAAUUGUGCUGACAUGUAGAAAGGAUCUGAGACGAGGUAAGUUUUUGUGAUUGUGUGGUUGUGUGGUUAGGAUGCCUUUAGGUGUAUUACCCUUCUAAUCGGGAUUUAGAGUGUGAAUUCGUUGAAAUUUAUAUCUCACCCUGUCAUAGGCUCAAUUCUUUUCAACAUCGUAGAGUGGAGGACCCAGAGUCGAGGACUGGAGAGCUUGGAGUUUAAAGUCUUCGUAGUCCCUAUUUGUUCUAGACUUCUGGACAUAGAUCUUUUGUAGUCUUUUGUAUAUGACUCGGUGUGUAUAUAAAAGUGUCACGCCUCGAUCCUCUAAGCACGUGUAGUCGAUUAAAUAGCGACGUCCCAAGAUGCAUCGCCGACCCAUUCAUUUUAUAUGCACACGCGGAAGCAAAUAAAUAAUCCCCAUACAAUAACAUAAUGGGAUAAGAAAGUAGGGCUAUAAUUUUGAAAACCAACAUCACACUUAUAUAUACACAUUGGAGCCUCGUCCUCGUCUCCAUCAUCAUUGACACUCUAAUUGGAGCCUUCAGCAGAAAACACUAGACUUCCGGGAUCUUUAAAAUCCGAGUCUACUACGUCUACGACCAAGCCUUGAGGAGGAUUUGCUGUGCGCUUUCCAAAAGCAAUAUCCAGCACAUACAGAGGUAUCUCAGAUUUUGGUAUGGAACCCUCUCUUUGGCCAUCCUGAGUCUGGUGAUACCAUGAUUUGUAUUGGUAGGGCACCUUGUGGGUGAGACCCGCAUCGACCAAAACUAUGGACCUUACCAAUUCAUAGGUCUAGCCCCUAGGGCUCUCAUGCAACGGAAUGUAAGAUGUGUGACAUCUUGAAUUUCAAGUUCUGAUUUCGAUCGAAAUAGUUGGGCAUUUCAUUGACGCACUUAUAGUUCUUUUCCCUAAACUGAUCGCUUCAUGGGAUUACUAGUUUAUCAGGUGAAGCCGUUAAGGGAUUCUAACGCAUUAGACUUGAGAAUUCGACUAGGAAACGACUGCUCGAUCGUGCAAAUCUGUAAGAGAUCAUAAUGACACAGUAAGAUUGAUUAGAAAUCGAAAAUAGGUCGACUUGAUAAAGGUAUGUGAUUAAGUGUAGGCGAUUCCACCUAAUUGCACACUUUUUGUCGAUUGGCGUUAGACCGAUUCUUCUGUCGUUUUGAUACCCUGUGUCCGUAUUUGAAACAUUGAGAUUUCUACGAUAACCGAGAGUCGCCAAUGUGUCGAAGAUGUAUUUUGUAGCUUGAAAAUAAUCAAUCAUAGGUCAAAUAUACUAAAAUUCCUAAAAGCUAUCCGAUAGAUUAGGACGCGUUAAAUUCGCGCCGAAUUGAAAUUAACUGUGAAAUUGAAAUCGAAUUCAGAAAUUGGAAGUCCUAUUAUGUCACAAAUCAUUUUAGGAAUGUGAAUUCAUCUUCAAAAGAUUUUUCAUGCAAAACGAGUUUUUUCGAAAUAUAAUCAAAGUAUGAUUAAUUUGGUUCGGGAAAAAUUAGUAAGCCCGCUUUUGGUCGUACUUUUGGGCUUCAAGAUAGUUCUCUGGUCAAGUAAAGAUGUUGAUUAAAGUGUGGUGACAUUGGAUUAAUUUUAUGGAUUUCAAUUUAACUCAAUUCGAAGGAAAUUAAAGUAAUGUGAUGUACAAGAUUUGCAAGAUUCGUAUGCCACGGCGGAGGAAGAAAUUUGACCCAUUGAAGAUAGUUAUGGAGGAUUUGAGUUAGUGGAAGAUGACCUCAUGUAAUGUCAUGGUGGUUCGGACCAAAGUGAAGAGGAUUUUGACAAGUAUAGAGUGUUGAUUUGCUUUAAAAAAGGUGGGCUAUCAACAUCAUCUUCCUCCUUGAAUCAAGAGAGUCUUGGAACUUGGAAUGGAGGGAGGGGCAUCAUGCGAACUAGGGAGCUUCGGCUAUGCCUUCGUCCGCCUGACUGACCGUUGCCAGCAUCGCUGGAGCUGUCGUCGUUGUCGUCGUUCGCACGCUCACUUGCCGGCUAGCUCGCCACUCUGCUCGGCCUUCAUCCGCGUGCCAACCAGCCGUCAUCCAAGCCAUCCCAGCAGCUGCUCGCCAUCGCCAGAGUCUCCAUCGCACCUGUACAUCGCCGUCCAGCAUUGCCCAAGCUGCCGUCGCUCGUUUUCGCCGAUCCCGCGCCCAACCGGUGACUGGAGCACCUCCGACCGAGCUUGGACAAUAGCCGGAGUUCCAAGCUAGAUCCGGAUCUUGAAGGUUCGUUUUGGAUGCCUUUCGAUCUUCUUUUGGUGUCGCCCCGAGGAGGUUUUUUGACCGCCUCGCCGUUGUGUUCACCAGGAACUCAUCAGAAAGCAAUUUCGGCGAGUUUAACCUCUUAAACCUUGAUUAGAGGGUUAAUGAUGCUUUAGGGAGGUUUAGUUUAAGUUAAUUGAGAUUAGGUUAUUAGUUUAGUUUGGUUAAGGCUAAAUUGAUGUUUAUGUUAGUAUAAUGAUGUUUUAGCUUUAAUUGAUUAUUUUUGAAUAAAUAAAUAUUUCGAAAUUAUUUAAUUAUUUAAUAAUAAUUUAUAUUAUUUACAAUUAUUAAAAAAUUAUUAUUUAAUUAAUUUCGGAAUAAAUUUAAUUAUUUAAUAAAUCCAAAAAUUAUUUCGAGACCUUAAAUUGUCAUAAUUUCGUGCUGAUUGCAGUGGUACUUUCUGUUUAUUUAUUUGAGUGUCGGUUUAUGAGAAUUGAGUGAAUUAGUGGUUAUGAGAGAAUUAUCCCAAAAUUUGAGAAUGUUGGUAUUUUAUGGGAAAAUGACUAUGAAAGAUUGUGAGUGGACUUAGAAAACCACUGAAGUAUGGUCAUGCCAAUAGGGCCGAGAUUUACCACCGAAUUUGGAAUCAAUUGUGCCCAUCAGGCCAUGAUCUACCACCUAUUAAAGGUCGUGCCGAGUGGGGCCGUGAUGCCACUAAUUCUAAAUUUGCCGAAUGGGGCCGUGAUUCCACUAACUCUAAGAAUUGCCGAGUGGGGCUGUGAUUACAACUAAAUUUAGAUUUGCCUGUAGGGCCGUGUUUAAGGGUCGAGAAUGAAAAGUUAGAAUGAUCGUGUGAUGACUUUGAUGACAUGUAAUUGAUUGAGUCGAUUGAUCGCUAAGUCGAUUCGAGUAAUUGAAUUGUUUGAAUUCUAUUACUGUAUAUGCUUGAGUAAUGUGAACUGUGCUAACUUGCAGGAAGGAACUGAGGCAAAGGUAAGUCUUAUUGUUUGUGAUGGUGUGGCUAGGCCAUACUCGAGUGUAUUUUCUUUCUAAUAGGCGUUUUGGGGGGGGGGGGGGGGGGUGAACUUACUGAGACAAUGUCUCACCUCGUCGUGGGCUCAACAUUUUUAGGUCCUUAGAUGGCGGUCAUGGAGGACUCGAAGCCAUAGACAUUUGUGGAGGUGGAGAUCGAAGAAUAGGCGAAUGUGUUUGACUAGUUGGUUGUAGGACAGUUCCUUUUUUGUUGAGCCGGUCUAUUUUGUAGCCAACCCUGUGUUGUAUAUAAACAUGUGUGUUUAUAAGAAAACCUAUUUGGUUGCGAUUGAUUGCUUGCUUUUCUAUCCCAAGUUAAAUGUUGUCAGGGGAUUUGUUUCGCUUUCGUAUGCAUAAAAUAAAUGAAUGGGUCGGCGACGCGUCCUAAGAAGUCGCAUUUUUUGUAUCAACUUGAGUGGGAUGUUUGCAUGCUCGAGGUUCGGGAUAUGACAAGAUGUCUGUUCUAUAACCUUCUUAGGCUGUCUAAAAAACUCAGGAGGAGUUGCCAUCUAUAGACCUGAAAGGUUAUCCCACAAUGAGGUGAGACGACGUCUCAACGAGUUCAACUUCCUAAGACUUGACUAGGAAGAAAAUAUGCCCUAAAGGCCGCCUAAGCAUAAACAUAGGUCGGAGAACUUACCAUUGCCCCAGUUCCUUCCUACAAGUCAGUAUUUUUCAUAGAUACACGAAUCACAUCAACUAAUCAUACGAAUUCAUCGAAUCAGAUCGAAACAUCGAUCAAUCGACUCAGUCGAUUACAUGUCAUCACAACAUUCUCUCGGUCGGCCAAAUCAAUACUAUCUAUGAAGUCUGAUCAUAAUUAGGACUGCUCUCUCUAAGCUGAUAAAUAGAUAGUAUAAUUUGCGCUAAGCUGAUAACUAAUAUACUGCUCUUUAUCUAAGCUGACAUAUCAAGGCCCUCAGGCUGAUAUAAUAUACUAACGUUGUUCACUCUAAGCUGAUAGAUAACAUUGCUCAUUCUAAGUUGAUAAGUAGCAUUGCUCACUCUAAGUUGAUAAAUAACAUUACUCACUCUAAGUUGAUAAAUAAUAUUGCUCACUCUAAGUUGAUAUGGUAUACUACUCUCGAUCUAAGCUGAUAUAUCAGAGCCCGUGGGUUGAAAUAGUAUACCACCUUGACCAUCUAUUCAAUUUACCAUUUUAAUCAUACCCGAUAAAAAUACUCGUGUGUGGGUACACGGUCGACUUUAACCAAAAUACAAUAUUUUUACUUUUGAACAUUCCGCCAAUCGGCAGUCCCAAAAUAGAUUUUUGGCGCUAUAGACUAACGUUCGGUAAUUUUCCAAUUAAUUACCAAAAUUAUCAAUUUUUAAGAUAAAUACCUGCAAUCACCAAUCACAUUUAAUUUACACAAAAUAACAAUCAAUAAAAUAAAUAGAUCACACCACUGUAAUUAGCAUGAAAUUCCGGUCACCGACUAUCCCGGUCUAAUUUCCAAAAAAUAAUUAAUUAAUUAAAUAAUUACGAAAAAUGAUUAUUAAAUGCCAAAAAUAACAACUUAGGCCAGAAAAGCCGAGACGGGCUUGGAAAGUUUUCGAAACUGCUCUAGAUAAAUACUAGAGCUUGUCUAGGCUCUAAUUACACUAUUUUAACCACCUAAAAUGCAAUAACAAUUCAUUAAAUUGCUAAUCUAGUCUAAUUAUUCACUUAAUCCAUACUUAGUCUAAACUAAUCAACCCUUAAACGUCAUUAAAUUACUAAGCAAGGAUUAGUGAGUUAAACUCACUUGUUAAGUGAUCUGCUCGGAUCAAAACGAUGAGGACACAGCAAGGGGCGAGAAACACCAAAGUGGGACCGCAUUUUGAGGUCCAGAAAGGCUUGAACUCAGGCCCGACAGCAACUUGGAGACCCACUAGACUCUGCUUCUAUUCUUGGCCGAAGAGGGGUUGCUUCGGUGGUUGAACUGCGAAACAAGAGCGGCGGAGGUAGUAGGGGUGCUCGGUGGGGCUUCACGGUGGUAGGCAGGUGACCUAGUAGCUUCGGCAACAAUGGAGCAAGUUUGAACAGCUCUAGAGGUGGCAUGGGCUCAUGGCUAAGGUGGAAUGAUGGCAUGGAAUGACAAAGAUGCAUGCGGGCAGGGCGAACGCGCGACGGCCAACGACGGCGACUUAGCGAGUUGACGGAGGAUGGACAGGCGUGCAAUGGCCUCGGCGGCUUGCUGGCUCUGCUUUCUAGUUUCUGGGCUUCAAACAGCAGCUGAGAUGGAGUGCUCGAUGGGUGAGAGGAGAGAGAGGAAGGAGGGAACCGGUUUUGGCAUGGAUGGGCCACUAAUGACCUCAUCUCAUCUCUUUGUACCCCCUCCUUUGGUCCCCACCACCAGCUGGCCUCCACAGCUGUAUUUCCAAACCAAAAUGCCCACUUCUAGAAGCUUGAGUUGGUCCAAAGGUUGGGUCCAUGGGGGCACACGUAUUUCACUUGAUUUCUCUCCAAUUGGACUUUAAUUCCCUUUUGAAUCAAAUCAAUUUGGCCUCUAAAAAUUCAACCAACAAGCUCACAAUCAAAUUGGUAUUUUUUCUCGCCAAUUGAUCCCACUUGCAUUCCAAUUUCACGAUAAAAAACGGUCAUCUACACUUUCUAAUCGAAAAUGGCCUUAUGACGACUUUUUUCACCAAAAUCUCAGCUUACAGAAAAAUCUUUAGAGACUAAGUCAACAUUCCUAAAAUGACUUGUUAUAUGACAAAACUUUCAAUUUUUGAAAUCGGAUUUAAAUUUAUGGUUAAUUUCAAUCUGGCACAUUUUUAGCGUAACUUAGGCUACCGGGUAGCUUUUAGAAUUUUUUUAGUGCAAAUGACCCGUGAUCUAUUUUUUUUUUCGAACCACAAUGAACCUAUUUGACACAUUAGCGACUCUCGGUUGUCGUAAAAAUCUCGAUGUUUCAAAUACGAACACAUGGUACCAAAGCAACAGAAAAAUUAGUUUAGUGCCAAUCAAUGAGGAUUUUGCAAUUUAGUGGAAUCACCCACGUUUAACCACACAUCUCAAUCGAAUCGACCUAUCCUUGAUCUCUAAGUGAUUUUUAACUGUGCCGUAAUGAUCUGUGUAGAUGAGCACGGUUGAAUAGUUGAUUCUUGAUCGAAUCCUCAAGUCUAUUUCAUUAAAAUCUCUUAAUGACUUCCCCAGAUUGUCCAGUUAUCUCAAAAGUGAUCAGCUUUAAGAAUAGCACUAUAGGCGCGUCGAUGAAAAGCCUAAAUUGAAAACAAAGUGAAAUUUCAGGAUGUCACAAAAAGAGUGUUUGUUUGUGAAUCUGUUUUUCUUGCUUUUCUAUCCCAAGCUGUUUACUGUUAGGGGAUUUAAUUAUUCGCUUCCACAUGUGUAUUAAAAUGAAUGAGUCGGCAACGCGUCUUGGAAAGUUGCAAAAUUUUAUCGACCACUGAGGAAUGGGCAUGUGCUCGAGGUUCGGGGUGUAACAAGUGUAAUAGGUUUAUAACUUUUUGGGUAAUUUUCCACAACAAUAUAUCUACUGUACAAACAUUUGGUCGUUUGGUUUAGUUUUGGGGAUAGUGUAUGGGAAAAUGUAAAGGUUUUUAGGCUAAAAGGGUUUUUCGAAAUGCAAGUGGUGCUUGGUAAAGUGUAUUUUAAAAAAUACAUUGGAAAACAAAUUUUGACGUAAGUGUCGUUUGGUAAAACUACACUUUGUAAAAGAUUUUGGGCAAUUUUUUUUUUUUAAAUAAAAAACUUCAAACUAUUUGCUAGUAGAACUCAACUAACCUUGGUGAACUAAAUCAGCCACUGGUCAUUUGUCGGCCACAAACCGGCCACUCGCCAGUUGUUUAUUGAUGGCCAGGCAAUGUUAGAGACUUUGAACACAUUUCUAGAAUUAUGAAAUCGAGUAAGUUAAAGUUGGAAGAAAUUUAUAUUCCAAAAAUACAACAUUUCAAAUAAUCUCUGAACCUGCCUAUGCCUUUAGAUAGCUUUGGAGAUGCAAUUGCAUAUCCCCAAAGCAGCCUAAAUUGUUUUUGCCAAAUGGCAUUUACAUUUGCCGAAGGGACUUUGGGGUGUCAAAGAUUGAAAAUUUUGAACCAAAUGUACCCAUUGAAAUACUCUCAAAUUCACUAUUCUCGAACUCCUAGUACUAAUUUCUCUUCUAUCUAUCUGUAGCUACUAUGGUGAGAUAGUAAUCUAGAAGUCCAUAGACGAUGUCCUCUUUCUCUCCGUGACCUACCUAGCUCAUAACCAUAAUAGGGUCAUUGACUUCAAGCGGCUUCUACUUCCAACUCACUAUGAGAACGUGGUAGACUAUGGCUGCACAUGACAAAAUUUCUGAAACAUAAAUUGAUUUCUAGCUAGAAAUCAAUUUCUUAAUUUCUAUUCCCCGGACAAGUUUCUGAGCAAAGAAACCCGUUUGAUAACAACUCAAAAUUUCUAUUUCUGAAACAGAAAUCCGUUUGAUAACAGAAUAAAAUUUAUAUUUCUAGGAAUAGAAAUUAAUUAGAUAACAACAUAGGAAAUCCUCAAAUACAAAAUAAUAGUCGAAAUAAUACUAAAACAACAUAGGAAAUCCUCAAAUACAAAAUAAUAGUCGAAAUAAUACUAAUACAUUACAAAAGUUGAAAAUACAAUUUCAUGAAAUUUCUGGCAUAUUAUUAUCCCUUGUCAUUUUAUUAGCAAUUGUUUUCCUAAGCGUAUUUAUUUGGUUUCCCUCCUCGGUUAAUGUAUCGUUUGCAAGCUCAUCCUACGUAGGUUCAGAUAAGUACUACGGAAGCAUGAAUAUGAGUGCCAUCAAUGGCGCCUAUACAGCUUUGUCAUUUUAUCAAAAACUAAUAUUAUACAAUAUUAUCAACAAAAUAAAAUUAAUGGUGUAAAGGAAUAUAUGAGAAUUCUACCUUAAAGUAACAUUUAUGGUUAGGAACCAAUCGGGGGAAGGUCGGUUUAUUUUGAUUCUUGAAUUGAAUCAGUCCAGUUGCUCAUUCCUAAUUUCUUUAUUGUUGCUCAAUGAACCUUUAAUGGCUCUUGCAUAGAAAAGAGAGAGAUUCUCUUGAAUCUCUUGCCUUCGAAUUAAAAUUCAAGAUUGUCUAACAAUCUAAUUAUUUUGAUUUUGCAAGAAUUUUGAAUUCGUCAAAAAAAAAAAAAAGGUUAAAUUUAUAGGCACGUUUUUAUUCAUCUAUUAUGUAAGAAAUUUUUCUUCAACUGGCCAUAUGCGUGCUUUUUCUAGAAGGAAAGAGCCCCAUUGUUUUUUCUUGUUUUUUUUUUUUUUUGGUAAAAAGAAAAUAGCCCCAUUGUUUUUAAGUAAGCAUUAAGAACUUUGGUCAUUUUUUAAAAUUGGGGACUCAUUCGAUUACCUUUCAUCCUAAAAAGGAAGUUAUCAAAAAAAUUGAAAAAAGAAAAAGAAAAAAAAACACAAGCAAAAUAAGAAAAAGAAAAUUAGCAAUAAUUUGUGUAGUUGUGGUUAUGAGUGAAUUAAGUUAGUAAGAAAGCGCAAGGUUCUUUUAUAUGGUUUGAUUUCAGUUUCUGAUUUCUAUUUCAGAAAUUGAGAAGUUAAAAAUUUCAGCUUCUGAUUUCUUCAAUUUCUCUAUCUCUGGAAUAGAAAUCUGUUUCAGAAAUAGAGAAAUCAAAUUGCGUUACCAAACGGAUUUCUGUUUCAAACAUGUUCCGGGGAAUAAAGAAACAGAGAAAUCGAGAAACAGAAAUUUUGUCAUGCGCGCCCUAUACUGUUGUAUCAAAAAAUAUUUCCAUGUCAGUGUAUGUCCCAUUAUUAUUAUUAUUAUUAUUAUUAUUAUUAUUAUUAUUAUUAUUAUUAUUAUUAUUAUUAUUAUUAUUAUUUCAACACUCAAGUUAGGAACGUGCUAGUACGCAGAAAUGAAAAAUAUAAUCAACGUGCAGUAUCUAUUAUAUUCAAAUAUAUAAUAUAUAAUUGCUUGAUAUUCCAAGUUCAAUCAAAAUUAAUGAUAAUACGAAUAGGUAGUGCUGCUAAUUAAUCCUUCAAAUAACAUCAGGUUCUACAAACCCACCAGAGUUAGCGUAAUUGAUUGUCGCAUAAGGGCGAUUUCCAGAUCAGAAAUUAGAAGUGAUGUAUUUAAAUUACAAUUACUGCGUGCAAAUAGCUUUAGGUUGAGAUCACCUCCACAGAUCAAAGAUUUGGACUUAAUUGGGUUCAUAGGCUUACAAGGUUUCCUCGAAUCUCCAGGUUUUUGGCUCUCUUCAUGAUCCUGGAUUAUUAGAAAAAUAAUGGGCUACAUCUAUCUAAGUGAGGAAGACACAUAUAGCCUGGUAAGUAUUGCAUGUACCAAUUGGUAUAUGAUACAUAUAACUAGCGGAUGGGGGAAAUGAUACAUUUGUUAUCAUAAUGUUAUCUCCGUACUUUAAAAUGUGGUUUGAUAUGGUCUAUUCAUUAGAAUGAUUAGGGAAAUCUCCUGACAUGGACGAAACAUUCCAUUCAGUUUACGAUUUAUCAUAGUUUUUGUUCAAUUUUGUUCCCAUACUUUUUUUAUUUGUUCAAUUUAGUCCACAAGUUAUUUUUUAUUCUCUCUAUAUUGCAAAAUGUCAAAUUUAGAUUUUACCCCAACACAAACAGUUUAUUAAUUACUUCAAAUUUAAAUAUAAUCCCAACACAAAAAAAAAUUAUUAAUUAUGUCAUGACACUAAAUCCCAAAUACAACACAUACAUUUAAUUGAUUAUCCAAUUCAAAGCAUUUAAAAUAUGAUAGAUAAAGAUGCUUGUGUUUACAAGUUGCAAGUAUAUCUAAAUGAGCCAUGCUUUUUUCACUCCUUUGAUUUAGACACUCCAUUUUUUGUGUUUUGACCAUAUUUUCCCUUAUGUGGUCCACUAUUUUUGUCACAACUUUAAAAAUAUGAUCCUUUUUUUUUUAUCAACUUUUUAUUUAUUUAUUUAUUUUGUUUCUUCUUUUUUCCUUACAAGUCUCACUUUCCUCUUUCUUUCUUUCCAUGCCUUCGAUGAUGUCUCAGUUCUCGGCUCUUGUCAAUCAUCUCUCUUUUUUUUUUUUUUUUUUUCUUGCAGGUCACUCUCUUCUUUCUACAUUUUACUAAUCCUCAAGUUGUAACACAUUGAGAAUGAUGCCAAUCCCGUUGUUCUCUACACUUUUGCUGGCACCGACAUUGGGGCCACUGUUCACCUCCCCAGUGAGAAUUUUCUCUAAUGCUUCCAUAAAAUCAUGUAUGAUAUGAUCAUGAAGCAAAAAAUAUAAUUCGCUCUAUAAACUUGAAGGGAGUUUUGUAGUUUGUUACCAUUAAAUAUUUUUACAGUUGAUUGCCUAGUUCAUAUUAGAAUUGAAAAUCAUAUGUCUAUAGGGUUUUUGUUGUUUUCUCUACUGCUCCUUUUAUAGCUAUUAAGAGUCGAAUUCAUGGUUGUUGGCAGUUUUAUUUAAUAUCUAUGGGAAGGCUCCAACGAACUGAUUCAAUUUGUCCUAAUAGAGCAUGUUCUCGAGAGCUUUUGUCUCUCAUAUUCCUUGAUUUUCCUGUGUCUCAUUUGUCUAGAUAGUAACCAUGGUUUGGAUCGCAUUCCAUCUUCAAAAAUCUAAAGAUGCUUGUAGCUAAAAUCUGAAGACUGGUUUUUCUAUUGGUCUUAUUGUCAUAGUUGACAACAAGAUGUUACCAUAAUUGACCCAAAUAUGAAAACCAAAAGUCAGAACUUUGCUCGGAGUGAGAUCCACUAGGAUCCUCUGUUCUCAUGAUGAAAGAAGAUAAUGGCCUACUAGAGAGAAAAUGGAGAGAGGAUUUGCAAGAGUCGAGAACUGAGAUGUUAAAUGUGUGGAAAUAAAGAAGAAGAAGGAAAGUGGGCCCACAAGAAAAAAGAAGUAACGAAAUAAAAAAAAGUUGAUCAAACAAAAAAGGGACCACUUUUGUAGAGCUAUAACAGAAGUGAUAGGAUAUACAAGGAUAAUCCGAUCAAAACACACAAAAUAAGGGAUUGUCUAACUUAAAGGAGGAGUGGCAAAAGCACCGCUCUUUCUAAACGUAUCUAAACGUGUCGUGUUACACACAAGGAACAUUAUUGAACAAGUCCUAAUGUGUCAUAAACGGUAAAAGGAUCCAUUUAUAGUAAAAAUAUUUAUUCUUCAUCAGGAUUAACCUUAUGUGAACACAUUAAUGUGUGUCAAAAAGUUGUUUUCAAAAUUACGAUUCCUAAAUAAGGGUCAUUAAGGUUUUUUUUUUUAAAGAAUAUUUGAUGACCCUCACUAUGUUCAAAUUGAGGCUAUUAUUAAAGAGAACAACUAGUUUAAGGACGGAAUUUAAAGGACAUAUGAAGUUAAAGGAUGGAAUUGAACAAAAAGUAGACAAGUUCAUAGCUCUAAUGACCAUCUUAGCAAGUUUCAUUAAAUCUUUAAGGAAAGGAGCACAUUGAACAAAAAUUGGAAAGUUCAGAAAUAAUAUUGAAUGAAAAAACUUCAGACAUUGAAUAAUUUAGCAAACCUGAAGGACUAAUGUUACCCUUAGUGGAUUAUAGAUAUGUUAUGUCUUUCAUAUUGAAAUUUUCAAAUGAUGUUAUAGAGGCCAACCGCAUCAAACUGACGAUAUACAUGUUAAAUGAAAGCUAUUAGCAACUCAUAGUUUUUAUUUUUGUUUCAUAAUAUUCACAAGGAAAUUAGAGCUGCGCAAUUGCCGAAUGCCGAAAUCUGAGUCAUAUUAUAGCCCAGAGAAUGGGACUCUAGUAUAAUUUGAUGAGUUGUGCUUGCAUAACGUUGCAAAUUGAACCCUCUAUUGCGUUCCAUUCACAAUGGGCAACCGAAUCACUAAAAAUUCAUUGAUUCAGCAUGUGUAUAAUUUUUAAAGAAACAAAUCCACUGACAUUACUCGAUAAAAAUAAAUCCAUGAAGUAAUCGACCAUAGAUUUUAGGGGUGGAACAUUGACCAAAAUUAAAUAAAUUAUACUUACGAAUUUAUAAAUAAUGUAGAUACACUGUUCAAUUUUUUUUCAAAGAUUUUUCACCGUACGGUCGGUUAUGGACUUGAGUUUCCACGGCAUCACUUUGUCACUUCGUUACGGUCGUCGCUCUAGACAGCAAGCUUUCAACCGCAUAAUUAUUGCAUCCAGCCGUCGUUUCGCACCCCAUUAAAGAGAUUGUCGCCAGAGAAUCUCCACCUCUUUAUUUUCGAUGGUGAAAUGAUGCCCCCCACGGCCGUUGUCACUACAUACGUGCCACAAUUUUCGGGCUUCGAUGCCAACUAACGCAUGGAAAAAAUAAAGGCAUGUGUGAACUCAUAGACGAAACUCGCAAAACGUACAUGCACCGGUAGAUAAAGGGAGCUGUCAGGCUUUCGAUAAAUUCAAUGAUAAUCUGAAAAAGAUCACAUCAUGUAAUAAAGAUUCUGAAAUUUCUCCAAUAAUAGAUGAAAAAUAAAUUGUGGUAGUCGCCGCUCCACAUGUCCAAUUUUGUUCAUGAGUACUAGCAAUUGGGCUCUUAUGUUUUUGUAUUGUGCAUGAAAUUGACAUUUAGUUUAUCAUGAAAUAUUUGGAUCAAUAAAUAAUUCAAAGAAACUAGUGAUAAGAAUAGACUGCACUAAUAUGUGGAAAGGUAAAAACAUUUUAAGAUGUGACAUCUUUUAAGGAAAGUUAUGCAAGAUAGAAUAUAUCCAAAUUUUAACAUUGAAAUACAUAGAAAAAUAAUAAUAUAUACUUACGUAUUUGUCCAGGUAUAAAAAUAUUUGUAAACAAAAUAAUUAAGAUAUUUGGAAAAGAGAAAAAUGAUUGAAAUCUCUUAAAAAAGGAGAUCCUCCUUACUUUAUAUAAAAGUAUAGAUGGAUAUAUUAUUUUGAGUCCCACUGGCCUAAAAACAAUAUUAUGCUGAGUUUAUGACGAAGCUCUUGUGAUCACAGAUCUUACACUAUGGUAGAUGGACAAAAUGGAUUGUGAAAAGGCUCGUGGGAUGACGGGUGUAUCUGAUGUUAAUCUGAUUUUUAUUGUUUCCUUUUUUUUUUCUUUUUUCUUUUUUAUCAAAACGAAUAGUAGGAUUUUGCUAGAUAACUCCAUCCCACCCAAACGGGUUUUUAAUACCGCAAGCAGAAAACCAGACAAAUUUACUAUAUGGCCUCAAUCAUAAAUUGUACGGUGGAAAGAAUAGUUCAUACUGAAUUUUUGUCACAAGAUUAAUAAAUCUGAGUCUGAUUAUAGCUUCGUUCUGGACUUGGUUUCAGUUUGGAUUGUGUCAGAGUGGGCAAGACUUAUAGAACAAAUAGACUUUGACAAGAGUCUAUGAUAUGACUUCAGAAGUCUUCUAUUAUUCAGAAUAAGAACAAGAACAAUAAAGUUUUGUCAACUUUAAAACCUGGUAGGAGUUUUAUCAACAAUCUCCAUCUUUUUUAUGGUGAGAAAGCUUUCAUGUAUAUUUAAGCAUAAUAUAAAAGUUAUCCUACAAAACAAAACUUUAGCAGCACAUGAUAAUUGAUAAAGAUAAUAGAUAGUAAGCACAAUAAAGUCUGCAUAAAUCUGCACAAAAUACACAUAGUCUGUACUCACAAGAAACACACCAACCAAUAGUCUGCAUAAAAUACACAUAUUGGAAUGUGUCUCUAAGCCCCCGUAUAUUUACACUAUGAUAACCAGGCUAUCUUCCACAUUGCUGCCAAUCUAGAUUUUCACGAGCAAAUAAAAUACAUUGAAAUUGAUUGUCAUCUCGUUCGUUAAAAAAUUCAAGCCAUGCUCAUUUUUCCAUUGAAGAUUGGUACGGACUCACAACUAGCUAACAGUUUACCAAACCACUAGGCCAAGAUCAGUACAUGUGGCUAACUACUUUCCAAGUUCGGUGUCCAUAUCUCACAUGCAGUAACUUUAGGGGGAGGCUUGGCGUGAUCAUAUGCCACCAGGGCAUACUUAUUUUAUGAGUAGUUUUAUAUAGGAAUAGAUUUAGGAAAUAUAGUUGUGAAUGGUGUAUAAAUAUGUACAUUUAAAAUACAAGAAAUAUUGAAUCGAUUUACAUUGGCAUCUUGCAUUUUGUAUCCUUUCUCAUGAUACCACCCCCAUCACUUGCUGCCAAUUUCAGUUCAGUCAGGAAAACUAACAGGUUGAGAGUGAAUGGCUUCCACAUAUUUCCCCAUGUUGUCCCGACGGAUUAAUGCGGAACCUAUGGAGGAAGCCAAGAUGUCAUACAUUUUGGACCGUUUGAUUUUGUGGUCCAUAUCUUCGCCGUCAAACAUUGAUGUCACUGACACCAAUCGUAUCAGCUUCUAUUCAACUUCAAAAAAUGCGUAAAUCUCCUCUUCCGAAAUCAAAUCCAUCAUUUUCUUCUCCUUCGAAGCCUCUUCUACUGCGAUAGAACGGUUGGCUCGAGCACUCAGCCAACAUUGUUGUUCCCACACCUGACCUUCAUCUUAGGCGCACUAAUCGCCUUCUGCCUCUUGGUGUAGAUUCACUAUGCCACCCAGGACUUCCAUCCCGAAGAUCCCCACGACCUCCAGCGCUGCGGGGGGUGAGGGCAAGAUCCUGAAUGACCUCCAGGGGAAAUACCAAAUUCUAGGCAACUCUACCUAGACUGUCCUGACUGCGGGGGGUUGACUUGCACUAUCUAAGCCGGCUACAAAGGCGUCUACGUAGAGCAUCUUAAGAUUUGCCUCUCAUUUAUAAAGAUAAUAGAGAGGAAAAGUGAAAAAAGAGAAUUUGAGAUUCAAGGUUUUAUUCUAGUUUAUCCUUAAACUAAAGCUACUUUAGCUGAGCAAUCCACUAUAUAUAUAUCCAGUUAUUAUUCAUGAGCCUAAAUUCAAGUUAUGAAUAAAAAAAUGAAUUCAAACUAUAAAAGUCCACUGACGUCGCGAGAGCACUGCCCCCUUACGAUUCUCUUGCCAUUCUGUCAACAAGGAGUAAGGACCAUACCCCAAUAGCUGCCGGAAUUGAGUUUCUAUACCUUUCACAUCUAGGUGACAUGUUCUGUGCUAGUUAAUCUUUUGCCGGGUCAACUUACCCCUAAUGCCAUUUGAUUCAUAAUAGGCUUCAUUCUUGUCUUCCACCAGGCCAACAAAGUGUACUCCAUGGCGGUCUUUAUGAACAUCUGUAGACUGACUCAGGUGGCCGGUGAAAGAGGCCGAUGGCAGUUCUCUCCUUGGCACCACAGGGCCCCUUUCAUCUCUAAGUAUUCUUCCUCCGAUUUCGAGGAAGAAAUGGCUACACUUGGAAUCUCCUUGGGCAAUGGGGGUCUCGGUGGAGUUCUUUGUCUUCAAUGAGCACAUCCCCGUGUUAAAACAUUAACUUGCAUCCCUGCCGCUUUCAGAUUCGUAUAAACCUAGGUCCUCUCGUCUCCCUCAACAACCUCCUCCAUAAACCCCAACCCACCUUGAAACCACGACCUGUUGUAACACAUCGAAGUUCAAGACAGAAGAAGAACAGAGAAUUUUCCAGUGCUUCUGCAAUGGAUACGUUUUUAGCAUCUAUGUGGAAACGGUAAGUCCCACCAUCAAGAUUCAAGACUAAGCGACUCAAGCGUCGGAUAUGAUUAGCUGAAAUAGAGAGAGUAUGGUGCGACAUUUUUAACAUGCUGAGAUUCUCACCAACUCUCCAGUCCACCAAACAAAAUAGGGAAAAAGAUCGCGAAACCUAUAAAUAAAAAAAUUGUCCAAAAACAACGAGCUUCAACGUAAUGCCCAAACGAAGGUUAUAUUAAAGACAUAUGACCAAAGUAUUCUCUAUAAAUUUCAAAGAAAACAACAAGCAAGCACUGCAUUUAGCUGCUGACACCAUAGAUGAUUCACAGACAAGCCUCUCUGACCUCGUCCACGAAGGCCCUGAGGUUCAUGUCCGUAGAAUCCGCCUUCCUUCACAGCCUCCCUUGCCAAAUCUCUUAAUUUCUGGGCAUUCCUUCUCCCCUCAUCUCCCUCCUCUCCAUCUCCCAUCACCGACUCCAAGCACCUACUUUUCUCGCCGCCUUCCACCAGGCUGCCUUAGCUCGUUUGGUGUCACCUUCACUCCGGUCCUCCAUACGUCUGCAACAAGCUUCGCAUUUAUCUGCUGAUCGCUCCACUGCGGAAAUGUCAAUAAUGGCAACCCAAAGACCAAGCUUUCCUAGGUCGAUUAAAUUCCAACACAUUUUGUGUUUGUACGGUCCUGUUAAAAUCGAAGCCAUUGGUUCCUUUCAUUUAUGAUAUUUUCUAUUCAGAAUUUAUACAAAAAUCCGGUUUCCUUAAAUUAAAUAAUCCAAAAAACAACUCUUGGUGAAAGAUAUUUUGUUAUGAGAAAAAAUUUCAAUGGAACAUUCACAAUUUUUUAAAUCAAAAUGGAGCUGCACAAUCGCUAAACUUACGACAUUUGAGUUAUGUUACAACUUACAACCUAGAGAAGGGGACUUUGUAGUAUGAUUUGCUCCUCUCUCGUUUCUCAUCUUAAAAAAUAUGCCGCCUGUACCUACUUCUUUAUGCUUAGAACCUACGCAAUUUAUCACCACUAACUCCCAGGGUCCUUCCUCCCCAGCCCCUCAAUCACAAGCACACGGGAACUCCUCCCAUGCCAUCGUUUACCGUCCGUCGUCGAUCCUGCUGCUACCAUCAUCUCUGCUUUCUAUCUCUCCCUUGCUCUUGAAAAGAAAUUAUAUAGAAUAUUCACAUGAUCAAUGGUUACGAUAGUGUUAAUAUUAACCAAUCAAUUUUUAAUCAUCAAGCAAACUCAUUUCUGAAGUAAUGAGUCUAACAUUGACAAAUGAAGAAUAAUACUAUAUAUAAAUAUUUAAAUUUAUUUGUCUCAACGAGGAUGAUUACACACACCUAAUUUUUUACCAACUUUUGAUUAUGAGUCACCGUAGUCAAGAUUUCGACUGACUUGCUCUGGAAAAGCUUUCCUACAACACCCCAUUUGAUUAAAUCGGAUGGUGAGAUCACUGAAUAUUGCAAUUUUUAAUUGCGACUGUCCGAUCUAGAUGGGGUUGGAAAUACAUCAUUUCUGCAAAUCGCUUAAUGAGAUCAUGUUAAUAUGGUCGUGAGCUUUCCAAUGCCUUGAGAAUCAAUCGAUUAGGGUUUCUUGAGGUAGAUAUCAUGCUUUUUCCAUUUCAAUCAUCGAAAUAGAUGUUAUAUAUAUUUGUGGAUGCGUUGGGUCAUAUGAAUAUUCGCGAAGAGUAGUAGGUAUCUGAUAAGCAAUCCACACUUACCAAGAAAAGGUCGAUCUAUUUAUAAAAUUAUCUUUUACUUCAUAUGACAAUGGUUUAGAGUAAUUGAUACAUACAAACUGAGUGACUGGCAGAAAAUAAUUGAUAGUCCAUCUCAAAGAGUUUCUAUGAAACUAGUUACUAGGAGCGCACAUGACAACAUUUUUAUUUUUCGAUUUCUUUGUUUUUUUGUUCCCUGGAACAAGUUUGGAACAGAAAUCCGUUUGGUAACACAAUUUAAUUUUUUUAUUUCUAAAACAAAAUUUUAUUUUAGAAAUAGAUUUGUAGUAGAAAUCAAAAGUUAAAAUUUUUAGUUUUUCUAUUUCUGGAACAAAAAUGAGAAAUCAAAAUUUUUUUCAUCGUUCACUCUCGUCACCACCCAUCGCCCACUAGCCGUCCGUGGGACGCUGAACGCCCACCACUCGCCGUCGCUCGCUGACCGCUGCCCACCGGACUUCGGCCGCCCGUCAUCGACCAUCCGCCAUCGGAUGCCCAUCGGUCGUUGGUUGCUCAUCACCAACCAUUGGACGCCGCAGGCCAACCGCCAACCACCAGACAUUGCCACCCGCCGUGUGUCACUUGCCACCGGUUGUUGGAUGUCGGCCGCCCGCCGCCGCUUGUUGGACUUUGGCCAUUGGCCACUGGCUGCCGGCUAUCAGACUCUGGACAUCGAACGCAGGACUUCGAAUGUUGGAUGCCGGUCGCCGGCUAGUCGAAUGCCAGACGCUGAACUCCGAACGUCGAAUACUGGAUGCCGGUCACCAACCACCAGACGCAAAAUAUCGGACUUCGAACGUUGGACGUUGGAUUUCGGCCACUCGCCAUUGAUUGCCAAACAUCGAACUCAAACCAUUGGACGCCGAUUGUUGCUGCUCCUAGAAAUAGAAAUUUAAUUCUUUUACCAAACGAAUUUUUAUUUUAGAAAUAGAAAUUUUGCAUCAUUAUCAAAUGCGUUUCUUUGCUUAGAAACUUGUCCAUGAAAUAGAAAUUAAGAAAUCAAUUUCUAUUUCAUAAAUUUUGUCAUGCACUAGUCAUCCCAAUAAUUGAUAAGAUCAUGCAAAUUUGAUAGUGAGCUUUGUAACGUUUUGAGAAUCACUUCCAUCAGAGUUUCUCUUCGCUAAACCAAAAAAGCAAUCAAUCUAUUUAGAAAAUUAUUAUUUACUAAAUAUAUCCGGGGUUCAGUAUAAUAAAGAUGCAUGUACAAACUAAAUGAUCGACAGACAAUUAUUGAUAGUCCAUCUCAAAGAGUUUAUGCAAAAACUAGUUAUUGGGUAUCUCAUUAUUAUUAUUCUCGUUCCCGAUUCUUUAAGUGAAUUUAUAAUUUGUUAAGGAUACAUCAUUGUACAUUGCCAGGAUAAGUGGGGACUUGUCCUACCACAGAUGGGAAAAUUAUCAAGAAAAAGUUGCCCGUAUGACGAGUUAAGUUGGGUGUCUCCAUCAACCAGAUGCAACCAAGAAGAACACGGAUGACGUGCCAAUUUUUUUAAUCUUUUACUUGAGAAGAAGACUAAUCUCUCUCACAUACCUACUGGUAGGAUUUUGAACAAAUGGCUCAAUCCACCAUCUGCCAUUGACUGGAGGAUGAGCUCUUCGCCCAGCAAAGACGGUCGGAGCCGGGAAUUACACAAGGCGGGGUGAGAUUCAAAAGGAAAAUUAACUUUUCAUGACGAGAUUACCCAUUAAGUUUCUGGGAUUAGUUAAAUCAUUGCAGCAAGUUUCGGAGGAUUUUUUGCAUUUAUGGAAUCUAAUGAAAUAGCUCCGGCAUUUGCACAUGUAGUUAUGAUAACAUACGGUGAAUUUGUGGACUGUAAACUUGAAUGAGAAAAAUAAGUAAAGUAUAACCACAGCUAAAAUUAGCGAGGAGGAUUAAAUUGGCAUAUCAUUAAGAGGUUUAUAACCAAAUUGGCAUUAUUGAAAAAUUUAGAAUUAAAUUGACAAAUUUUCAAAAGAUUUAAGAUUAAAUUAGUAUGAUUAGAAGGUUUAUAACUGAAUUAGUACUGUACAAUAAUUUUAGAACUUUUUGGACAAUUUUCCUAGAAAAAAAAAAGUAACUAUGUAAAUUGUCGAGUGGGUUCCGAUCAUGCAUCUUUUAUCACUUCCACAAUUAGAACACUAUAAUUCUCUCAAUCAUUUCGACCCCCAAAAAAAAAAAGAAAAAUCUUAAUUUUGAAUCUUAUGUACAUGUAGGGGUCUAUUUCCACGGCCCACACAACCUAAUACCAGCUCCUAUGAACCCCCACGCCUGCUCUUGGUCCUCGACAGGCCUUUUGCUUAUACUGACUAUCUCGUCACCCUCGCCGGCACCGGGCUGAGUGAGGCAUGAAUGCUUUAACAUAUGCCAUAAACCCCAGCUCCCGUCGAGACCACAACCUCUCGUUCCCCGUCAAAGUUUGAGACGGAAGAAGAUAAGACGAUCGAGUAUUUCAUACCUAACUGCUACUAAGAUGGACGAUUGAAAAGAAUCAAGACACCGUAAUCCUUCUGUCGUUAAGAAAUGUUUUCACCAUCAGCGGAGAGGUCCCACCAUCAAAGAUUCAAGACUUAGCAACGGAAGCGUCAUAUAUGACGGGCUGAAAUAGAAGGAAUACGGUGCGACGCUUUUUAACAUGCUGAUGUUUCUCACGAACACCAUACACUACAGAAGGGGAAAAGGAAGAAAACAGAGAAAAUGACGCCUAGACUUUAUGCCCAAACGAAGGAUUACAUAAUAGCCAUAAUAUUUAUUUACUAAAAGUCCCCAGACAUGGAAGCGCCACGUUAACUGGUGACAGAGACACCACAGACGAUUCACUCACUCAGCCGCUUCUCUGACCUCGUCCACGAAGGCCCUGAGGUUCUUGUCCGAUGACCCGCCUUCCUUCACGGCCUCCCUCGCCAGAUCCCUAAAUUUCUUGGCAUUCCUUCUCAUCUCAUUCCCCUCCUCUCCAUCUCCCACCACCAGGUCCAAGCACCUCUUCACCUCGCUGCUCUCCACCAGGCCUAGCUCGUUGGGCGUCAACUUCACCCCGGUCCUCCACACGUCCGCCAGGAGCUUCGCGUUCGUUUGCUGAUCGCUCCACUGCGGGAACGCCACCACGGGCACCCCGCAGACCAAGCUCUCUGACGUGGAGUUCCACCCGCAGUGCGUCAGGAAGCACCCCACUGAAGGGUGGGAUAGGACCGCCACUUGCGAGCACCACGGCACUAUCAUCCCUAGCUUAUCUAGUUCUUCUUGGAAGCUCAAUCUAUCCUCGUCUCUCUCUUCUUUCCCGCUUUCCCGAAUGAUCCACAAGAACGGCCGGCCGACCUCUACGAGCGCCCGCGCCAUUUCCUCCUUCUGCGGCUUUGAUAGCACGGAGAUGCUCCCGAACGACAGGUAGAUCACCGACGCUUUUGGCUUGGUGUCCAGCCACUCCAUGUAGCCGCUCGAGCUCUUGAAGAGAUCACCUCCGAAGGAAGUGUCCGAUGGAUCUUGCCCGUCCAAAAACGCGGACGGUAUCAGGGGCCCAAUCCCAAUUACCUC